UUCCGAAGGAGCCGUUGGUAAAGUUUGC
rnacentral:sRNA from 1 species